rnacentral:rRNA from 1 species
CAGCAGCCGCGGUAAACGUAGGAGGCAAGCGUUAUCCGGAUUUACUGGGCGUAAAGCGUGUGUAGGCGGUUUGGUAAGUCGGACGUGAAAGCUCCUGGCUCAACUAGGAGAGGCCGUUCGAAACUUCCAAACUUGAGGGCAGUAGAGGGAAGUGGAAUUCCCGGU